rnacentral:lncRNA from 1 species
GUUUGGUUUGCCAUCACUUUUUGUGACUUUUCUGACAUCUGCAAGUGUCGGAAGUGUGACCUGAAACAUUUAAGGACACUUCUGCCUGAACCAUGGGCAGAUGUUUAGACUCCAAGAUACAGAGGAGGAGGGUCUUGGAGGUUUCUUAGUAUAAGUUCCUCCCUGUGGUACUUGCAGUUCCUACAAGGGGCUGUCAGAGAAACAAGCCGGAGCAGAAGAGCAAGACAUGGUCCUGGUGCAUGAAAGGAGCCUAAGAAAGAAGAGUGAAAGCUGCACGUGUGUGAGUAUCUAGCAGAACAUCUAGAAAAUGCACACCAACCUCCAGCAGCAGAAAACAGUCUACCUCCAGAAAGCCAUAAAAGAGAAAAGAAUGUUGUACCAAACUAAGCAAAUGAAGCAUGAAAUGAAAAGCCGGUUGAGCUGGGAGGUAUAAAGAAUGGAAAGGAAGCAGCUACCACCCCUGGUAACCCCAUCAAUCCGGAGAAGCUUCGCAGAGUUACACUGUGCUCUGUCGGAGGAAGUCUAAAAUAACACAUGGGUGUCUCGGCCUUGGCACAGCUAAACCCUGGAACAUUGAACUGAAGUCAUAACAAUGGGUAAUAUUUUAAUAUAAUGAAAAAUUAUCAUUAACUUUUCUCGACAGGAAGGAAAUGAAUUUUCCUCAUUGUACACAUUCCGAGAAAAAUGAGGCUAAGACUAUUUCAAAGGAUGUUCUACCUAAUUCGAAUGGGCUUUAAGUGCCAUCUUCACAAUAGCGCCAGAGUCUGGUGUCAGCAAACUGAACAAAUAGAGCUACAGGGAGCGAAUGGGGCUGGGUGCCUCUCCAAAACAUAUGCAGAUGAACUUGAGAUUUCAGAGGACGGUUAAUCCUACACAGCAGUCAAGUGCCUUCCCAGGGGUAUGUCUCAGAUCUCAGGGCUCCCUUCCAAACACUGGCUGCCACGUCAAACCAAAGGGGACGAGCAAUCAGACUCACCUCAAACGCCAGUUAAGAAAGCCGGCCUUACUUAAGCAAUCAAGGGCAAGUGAUCAGCCAACUCUGCUUUCUUUCCUUUCUCUUGGAUCAUUUAUAGACCUUGUGGCCGUGGCCACCACAUUGAGAAGCCCUUGGUCUCUACUUGGACUCACUAUAGCAGAGCAUCCUGGCAGGCAUCCACUGUGCCAUAUGCUUUCGGGAAGUCUGGAUGCUGAAUGUGGUGGCUGUGGGGAAUUGAGCCUUAUUGCUUCAUAAGAUUCCUGGUGGUAGAACUAUUCUGAACAAGAACACGUCCGUCCCCAUAGGUGUGCUCCAAGAAUCACAGAAUAAGAAGGGACUUCGGAGAGAGCCUCACACAGUUGGGCAAUGGGAGCCCAGAGAGGCAAGGAAGGCUCCUUGCCCAAAGUCUUGUACAUCUGAAUCUGCAACUCCUGACUAUUUUUGAGUCUUAUGCUCCAGGCUAAAACUUGUGACUUUAAGUGUGAUGUUCUCGGUGAUGAUUAAUCUAGGAUGUUUCUGUUGUUUUCUUACCGUCAAAGAAUUAACAUCAAAAGGAAAGGAAGGAAGAAAUGUAGAAGUGAAGGCAAGAAGGAAGGAAGGAGGAAAGGAAGGAAGGAAAAUAUAGGCUUUGGGUAAAAAUAAGUUUCUACUCAACACUGACAAAGGUACAGGUUUUGGACAUUGGUUUCCUAAUCUGUAAAUGAGGAAUAGUCAUCACAUCGCUGUCCUGGCUGGUUUUGUGUGUCAACUUGACACAAGCUGGAGUUAUCACAGAGAAAGGAAAGAAAAUGCCUCCAUGAGAUCUAGCUGUAAAUGGAUUAGUGAUCAAGAGUGGGAGGGCCCAGUGUGGGUGGUGCCAUCCCUGGACUGGUGGUCCUGGGUUCUACAAGAAAACAAGCUGAGCAAGCCAGGGGAAGCAAGCCAGGGGAACAUCCCUCCACGGCUCUGCAUCAGCUCCUGCUUCCUGCCCUGUGUGAGUUCCAGUCCUGACUUCCUUUGGUGACGAACAGCAAUGUGAUAGUAUAAGCUGAAUAAACCCUUUCCUCCCCAAC